rnacentral:ncRNA from 2 species
CGACCCCGUGCGGGAGAGUCCUCCGGCGUUCACCGCGGAGGCGCCGAAGGAGCAAAUCCUCCCCGGAAUCUCUCAGGCCCCCGUAC